GGGCCCGCACAAGCGGUGGGAGCAUGUGGUUUAAUUCGAAGCAACGCGAAGAACCUUACCAGGCCUUGACAUCCAAUGAACUUUCCGGAGAUGGAUUGGUGCCUUCGGGAACAUUGAGACAGGUGCUGCAUGGCUGUCGUCAGCUCGUGUCGUGAGAUGUUGGGUUAAGUCCCGUAACGAGCGCAACCCUUGUCAUUAGUUGCUACAUUUAGUUGGGCACUCUAAUGAGACUGCCGGUGACAAGCCGGAGGAAGGUGGGGAUGACGUCAAGUCCUCAUGGCCCUUAUAGGUAGGGCUACACACGUCAUACAAUGGAUGGUACAAAGGGUCGCCAACCCGCGAGGGGGAGCCAAUCCCAUAAAGCCAUUCGUAGUCCGGAUCGCAGUCUGCAACUCGACUGCGUGAAGUCGGAAUCGCUAGUAAUCGUGGAUCAGAAUGUCACGGUGAAUACGUUCCCGGGUCUUGUACACACCGCCCGUCACACCAUGGGAGCGGGUUCUGCCAGAAGUGGUUAGCCUAACCGCAAGGAGGGCGAUUACCACGGCAGGGUUUCGUGACUGGGGUG
rnacentral:rRNA from 1 species